AAAUUGAAGAGUUUGAUCAUGGCUCAGAUUGAACGCUGGCGGCAGGCCUAACACAUGCAAGUCGAGCGGUAGCACAGAGAGCUUGCUCUCGGGUGACGAGCGGCGGACGGGUGAGUAAUGUCUGGGAAACUGCCUGAUGGAGGGGGAUAACUACUGGAAACGGUAGCUAAUACCGCAUAACGUCGCAAGACCAAAGUGGGGGACCUUCGGGCCUCAUGCCAUCAGAUGUGCCCAGAUGGGAUUAGCUAGUAGGUGAGGUAACGGCUCACCUAGGCGACGAUCCCUAGCUGGUCUGAGAGGAUGACCAGCCACACUGGAACUGAGACACGGUCCAGACUCCUACGGGAGGCAGCAGUGGGGAAUAUUGCACAAUGGGCGCAAGCCUGAUGCAGCCAUGCCGCGUGUGUGAAGAAGGCCUUCGGGUUGUAAAGCACUUUCAGCGGGGAGGAAGGCGUUAAGGUUAAUAACCUUGGCGAUUGACGUUACCCGCAGAAGAAGCACCGGCUAACUCCGUGCCAGCAGCCGCGGUAAUACGGAGGGUGCAAGCGUUAAUCGGAAUUACUGGGCGUAAAGCGCACGCAGGCGGUCUGUCAAGUCGGAUGUGAAAUCCCCGGGCUCAACCUGGGAACUGCAUUCGAAACUGGCAGGCUAGAGUCUUGUAGAGGGGGGUAGAAUUCCAGGUGUAGCGGUGAAAUGCGUAGAGAUCUGGAGGAAUACCGGUGGCGAAGGCGGCCCCCUGGACAAAGACUGACGCUCAGGUGCGAAAGCGUGGGGAGCAAACAGGAUUAGAUACCCUGGUAGUCCACGCCGUAAACGAUGUCGAUUUGGAGGUUGUGCCCUUGAGGCGUGGCUUCCGGAGCUAACGCGUUAAAUCGACCGCCUGGGGAGUACGGCCGCAAGGUUAAAACUCAAAUGAAUUGACGGGGGCCCGCACAAGCGGUGGAGCAUGUGGUUUAAUUCGAUGCAACGCGAAGAACCUUACCUGGUCUUGACAUCCACAGAACUUUCCAGAGAUGGAUUGGUGCCUUCGGGAACUGUGAGACAGGUGCUGCAUGGCUGUCGUCAGCUCGUGUUGUGAAAUGUUGGGUUAAGUCCCGCAACGAGCGCAACCCUUAUCCUUUGUUGCCAGCGGUUAGGCCGGGAACUCAAAGGAGACUGCCAGUGAUAAACUGGAGGAAGGUGGGGAUGACGUCAAGUCAUCAUGGCCCUUACGACCAGGGCUACACACGUGCUACAAUGGCAUAUACAAAGAGAAGCGACCUCGCGAGAGCAAGCGGACCUCAUAAAGUAUGUCGUAGUCCGGAUUGGAGUCUGCAACUCGACUCCAUGAAGUCGGAAUCGCUAGUAAUCGUAGAUCAGAAUGCUACGGUGAAUACGUUCCCGGGCCUUGUACACACCGCCCGUCACACCAUGGGAGUGGGUUGCAAAAGAAGUAGGUAGCUUAACCUUCGGGAGGGCGCUUACCACUUUGUGAUUCAUGACUGGGGUGAAGUCGUAACAAGGUAACCGUAGGGGAACCUGCGGUUGGAUCACCUCCUUA
rnacentral:rRNA from 1 species